AAGAGCUCGUAGGUGGUUGAAAAAGUUAGUGGUGAAAUCCCAGAGCUUAACUCUGGAACUGCCAUUAAAACUUUUCAGCUAGAGUAUGAUAGAGGAAAGCAGAAUUUCUAGUGUAGAGGUGAAAUUCGUAGAUAUUAGAAAGAAUACCAAUUGCGAAGGCAGCUUUCUGGAUCAUUACUGACACUGAGGAACGAAAGCAUGGGUAGCGAAGAGGAUUAGAUACCCUCGUAGUCCAUGCCGUAAACGAUGUGUGUUAGACGUUGGAAAUUUAUUUUCAGUGUCGCAGCGAAAGCGAUAAACACACCGCCUGGGGAGUACGACCGCAAGGUUAAAACUCAAAUGAAUUGACGGGGACCCGCACAAGUAGUGGAGCAUGUGGUUUAAUUCGAAGAUACGCGCAGAACCUUACCAACACUUGACAUGUUCGUCGCGACUCUAAGAGAUUAGAGUUUUCGGUUCGGCCGGACGAAACACAGGUGCUGCAUGGCUGUCGUCAGCUCGUGUCGUGAGAUGUUGGGUUAAGUCCCGCAACGAGCGCAACCCUCACUUUUAGUUGCCAUCAUUAAGUUGGGCACUCUGAAAGAACUGCCAGUGAUAAGCUGGAGGAAGGUGGGGAUGACGUCAAGUCCUCAUGGCCCUUACGUGUUGGGCUACACACGUGCUACAAUGGUAUCUACAACAGGAAGCAAGACUGCGAGGUCAAGCAAAUCCUUAAAAGAUACCUCAGUUCGGAUU
rnacentral:rRNA from 1 species